AGAGUUUGAUCCUGGCUCAGAGCGAACGCUGGCGGCAGGCUUAACACAUGCAAGUCGAGCGGGCAUAGCAAUAUGUCAGCGGCAGACGGGUGAGUAACGCGUGGGAACGUACCUUUUGGUUCGGAACAACACAGGGAAACUUGUGCUAAUACCGGAUAAGCCCUUACGGGGAAAGAUUUAUCGCCGAAAGAUCGGCCCGCGUCUGAUUAGCUAGUUGGUGAGGUAACGGCUCACCAAGGCGACGAUCAGUAGCUGGUCUGAGAGGAUGAUCAGCCACAUUGGGACUGAGACACGGCCCAAACUCCUACGGGAGGCAGCAGUGGGGAAUAUUGGACAAUGGGCGCAAGCCUGAUCCAGCCAUGCCGCGUGAGUGAUGAAGGCCCUAGGGUUGUAAAGCUCUUUUGUGCGGGAAGAUA
rnacentral:rRNA from 1 species